CCUUAUGGGAAAUACAUACAAAUGUCUUCUUUUAGAGAACCACUGAAUAGAAUGAAACCAAACAUGGCAUGAAUGUUCCUUAUGAGGUGCUGACCAAGUGUUGUUACUUUGCAGUCGGUCCAUCAUCCAAGAUGGCCGACAGCAGGGGACUUAGUUUAACAAAGGACCUAUGGGAAAUACAUACAAAUGUCUUCUUUUAGCGAACCACUGAAUGGAAUGAAACCAAACAUGGCAUGAAUGUUCCUUAUGAGGUACUGACCAAGUGUUGUUACUUUGCAGUCGGUCUAUCAUCCAAGAUGGCCGACAGCAGGGGACUUAGUUUAACAAAGGACCUAUGGGAAAUACAUACAAAUGUCAUCUUUUAGAGAACCACUGAAUGGAAUGAAACCAAACAUGGCAUGAAUCUUCCUUAUGAGAUGCUGACCAAGUGUUGUUACUUUGUAGCCGAUCCAUCAUCCAAGAUGGCCGACAGCGGGGACUUAGUUUAACAUAGGACCCUAUGGGAAAUACAUACAAUUGUCUUCUUUUAGAGAACCACUGAAUGGAAUUGAACCAAACAUGGUAUGAAUGUUCCUUAUGAGUUGCUGACCAAGUGUUGUUACUUUGUAGUCGAUCCAUCAUCCAAGAUGGCCGCCAGCAGGGGACUUAGUUUAACAUAGGACCCUAUGGGAAAUGCAUACAAAUGACUUCUUUUAGAGAACCACUGAAUGGAAUGAAACCAAACAUGGCAUGAAUGUUCCUUAUGAGGUGCUCACCAAGUGUUGUUACUUUGUAGCGGAUCCAUCAUCCAGUAUGGCCGCCAGCGGGGGACUUAGUUUAACAUAGGACCCUAUGGGAAAUGCAUACAAAUGACUUCUUUUAGAGAACCACUGAAUGGAAUAAAACCAAACAUGGCAUGAAUCUUCCUUAUGAGAUGCUGACCAAGUGUUGUUACUUUGUAGUCGAUCCAUCAUCCAAGAUGGCCACCAUCGGGGAACUUAGUUUAACAUAGGACCCUAUGGGAAAUACAUACACAUGUCUUCUUUUAGAGUACCACUGAAUGGAAUGAAACCAAACAUGGCAUGAAUGUUCCUUAUGAAGUGCUGACCAAGUGUUGCUACUUUGUUGCCGAUUUACUGUUCAAGAUGGCCACCAGGAUAUUUUAUUAAAUAACAGGACCAAUAUUAAUCAAAAUUUGGCCUCAAUCAUUAUUUGGGUAUCUGUUAUGAUUUUUAUCUAUCUUUACAUGAUUUCUAAAACCAAAGUAGAGUCAGGUGAGCGACACAGGCUCUUGAGAGCCUCUAGUUAGCUCACCUGGCCCGAAGGGCCAAGUGAGCUUUUCUCAUCACUUGGCGUCCGUCGUCCGUCGUCGGCGUAAACUUUUUACAUUUUGAACUUCUUCUAGAGAACCACUGAAUGGAAUGAAACCAAACAUGGCAUGAAUGUUCCUUAUGAGGUGCUGACCAAGUGUUGUUACUUUGUAGCGGAUCCAUCAUCCAAGAUGGCCGCCAGCGGGGGACUUAGUUUAACAUAGGACCCUAUGGGAAAUACAUACAAAUGUCUUCUUUUAGAGAACCACUGAAUGGAAUGAAACCAAACAUGGCAUGAAUGUUUCUUAUGAGGUGCUGAUCGAGUGUUGUUACUUUGAAGCCGAUCCAUAAUCCAAGAUGGCCACCAGCGGGGGACUUAGUUUAACAUAGGACCCUAUGGGAAAUACAUACAAAUGUCUUCUUUUAGAGAACCACUGAAUGGAAUGAAACCAAACAUGGUAUGAAUGUUCCUUAUGAGGUGCUGACCGAGUGUUGUUACUUUGAAGCCGAUCCAUAAUCCAAGAUGGCCGCCAGCGGGGGACUUAGUUUAACAUGGGACCCUAUGGAAAUACAUACAAAUGUCUUCUUUUAGAGAUCCACUGAAUGAAAUGAAACCAAACAUGGUAUGAAUGUUCCUUAUGAGGUGCUGACCGAGUGUUGUUACUUUGAAGCCGAUCCAUAAUCCAAGAUGGCCGACAGCGGGGGACAUAGUUUAACAUGGGACCCUAUGGAAAAUACAUACAAAUGUCUUCUUUUAGAGAACCACUGAAUGGAAUGAAACCAAACAUGGCAUGAAUGUUCCUUAUGAGGUGCUGACCAAGUGUUGUUACUAUGAAGCUGAUCCAUAAUCCAAGAUGGCCGCCAGCAGGGGACUUAGUUUAACAUUGGACCCUAUGGGAAAUACAUACAAAUGUCUUCUUUUAGAGAACCACUGAAUGGAAUGAAACCAAACAUGGCAUGAAUGUUUCUUAUGAGGUGCUGACCGAGUGUUGUUACUUUGAAGCCGAUUCAUAAUCCAAGAUGGCUGCCAGCGGGGCACUUAGUUUAACAUGGGACCCUAUGAGAAAUACAUACAAAUGUCUUCUUUUAGAGAACCACUAAAUGGAAUGAAACCAAACAUGGCAUGAAUGUUCCUUAUGAGUUGCUGACCGAGUGUUGUUACUUUGAAGCCGAUCCAUAAUCCAAGAUGGCCGCCAGCGGGGGACUUUGUUUAACAUAGGACCCUAUGGGAAAUACAUACAAACGUCUUCUUUUAGAGAACCAUUGAAUGGAAUGAAACCAAACAUGGCAAGAAUGUUCCUUAUGAGGUGCUGACCAAAUGUUGUUACUUUGAAGCUGAUCCAUCAUCCAAGAUGGCAGCCAGCGGGGGACUUAGUUUAACAUAGGACCCUAUGGGAAAUACAUACAAAUGUCUUCUUUUAGAGAACCACUGAAUGGAAUGAAACCAAACAUGGCAUGAAUGUUUCUUAUGAGGUGCUGAUCGAGUGUUGUUACUUUGAAGCCGAUCCAUAAUCCAAGAUGGCCGCCAGCGGGGGA